GGGGAAUUUUCCGCAAUGGGCGAAAGCCUGACGGAGCAANACCGCGUGNGGGAUGAAGGUCUCGUGGAUUGUAAACCCCUUUUGAUNAGGGAAGAAUANUUGAACGGGUACCNAGUCGAAUNANCCUCNGGCUAACUCCCGNGCCAAGCANCCCGCGGGUAAUACCGGAGGAUGCAANCGUUAUCCCGGAAUUAUUGGGCNGUUAAACGUNCNGUAGGUGGUUUANUAAGUCUGCUGUUAAAGCGCUGGGCUUAACUCCAUUAAGGCAGUGGAAACUGUUGGGCUUGAGUGUGGUAGGGGCAGAGGGAAUUCCCGGUGUAGCGGUGAAAUGCGUAGAUAUCGGGAAGAACACCAGUGGCGAAGGCGCUCUGCUGGGCCAUAACUGACGCUCAUGGACGAAAGCCAGGGGAGCGAAAGGGAUUAAUACCCCUGUAGUC
rnacentral:rRNA from 1 species